rnacentral:rRNA from 1 species
GACGAACGCUGGCGGCGUGCCUAACACAUGCAAGUCGAACGGAAAGGCCCUGCUUUUGUGGGGCGCUCGAGUGGCGAACGGGUGAGUUACACGUGAGUAACCUGCCCCUGACUUUCGGAUAACUUCAGGAAACUGGGGCUAAUAUCGGAUAGGAGCUCCUGCUGCAUGGUGGGCGCUGGAAAGUUUCGGCGGUUGGGUAUGGAAUCGCGGCUUAUAAGCUUGAUUGUGGGGUAGUGGCUUACCAAGCCUUUGACGGGUAGCUGACCUGAGAGGGGUACCGGGUAAAGUACGACUGGGGUACGACCCAGACUGCUAUGGGAGGCAACAGUGGGGAGAAUUACACAAUGAGCGGGAGCAUGAUGCGGCGACGCCGUGUGCGGGAUGACGGCCUUCGGGUUGAGAACCGCUGUCGUCUGAACCGAGGCGUGAGUGACGGUAAUGGGUAAAGAAGCACCGGCUAACUACGUG